rnacentral:rRNA from 1 species
GACGCGGCGUACGGCUCAGUAACAUGUGGCUAACCUACCCUUAGGACGGAGACAACCCCGGGAAACUGGGGCUAAUACCCGGUAGAUUAGGAGGCCUGGAAUGGUUUCUAGUCGAAAAGGCGUUGAAACCAUGCUUUUCGACGUCGCCUAAGGAUGGGGCCGCACCUGAUCAGGUUGUUGGUGGGGUAACGGCUCACCAAGCCUAUAACCGGUACGGGCCGUGAGAGCGGGAGCCCGGAGAUGGGCACUGAGACAAGGGCCCAGGCCCUACGGGGCGCAGCAGUCUCGAAAACUCCGCAAU